GUAGCCGGGGCUUCCCGGGGCGGCCGGAGGACCGGAGCGAGGCCGCGGGCAGGUCCGCCGCUAUCCCGGCAGCCUCCUCCUCCUCCUCCUCCUCCCGGCCGUGAGGUAAUGAGGGACGGACACUCAUAGUCCGCCAGCCUCCCGGCGGCGCCAACACAACCAAGGCCCCAGGGCGGGCGCUCUGCCCCACGCGGAAACCAUAGAGACGCGCGCUUCCGCGCCCUCCCCGUCACGUGAGCACCGCACGUGCGGGAACAAACAGUUCCGGGGACGGGGACAUCACUCGGCAGCAGCUCCGCACUGCCAUUGGUCAGCGGAAGCGAUGACGACAUUAGGGGGAGGGACGCGAGGCGGGGAGCGUCCAUUGCGCGGCUCAAACCGGGGGAGUCUCCGCCGCCUUUAUUCCCUCCUCUCCCCCCGGGUGCCCGGAGCGUUGGUGCGGCCCUGCGGGUGUGAGGGGAGAGCGGUUCGGAGAGUGUGAGGACGGCUUCAGUUACAGCCCCGUGUAAGGAAUUUGUAGCAGGAGCCAUCGAUAGCGCAAGGGAACCAACGCAGAAAUUACUUGUUUAGUAUUUCCAACUGCCAAAUCUUCCCUCCACCCUUCUUCACAGCACCAUAAAAAACAAAGCAGAAAUUUAGUGACUUCGUCAAGGGGUUUAGGACAUCUUGUAGAAAUAGAGGCUGUGUAUUCCACCCUGAGAGAAUUCUCUGGCAGCGGGCGGUUUGGAGUCAUCCACUGCAGAGGACAAGAGUUGCUGUGGCUGUACGAGGUGGGUUUGGUGUACAUUAGGGAUGGGCUAGAGAAAACCACAGAGCUCAUUCCUAUUUCCCUUCUGACAACACCGGUGAAACACACGGGCAAAAUGAAGAGCGAACUUUGCAUAGGCCACAGUACCCGCACUGCACAUUCAACCCCAAGAGACCAACUGGCUAAACCCUUUCAAGACUGCAAAAUGGAAUUUAUGCCAUUUCUGAUUGAAGCUUAAGAAAUAAAUAAGAGGCAUAAAAAUAUGAGCUGGAAAAAUCUGGUUGAAUGUCUGUGGACCUUACUGUAUCCUAUAGAACAGAAUCACAGAAUGGUUUAGGUAGGAAAGGACAUUCAAGCUUGUUUUUUUCCACGCCCUGCCACAGGCUGGGAUACCUGCUACAGUUUGCUCUUGGCCUUCAACAUUACAGAAUCUACGUGGUUUCCACAGCACAAGAGCAGCACUGUAAUUACUACCGUUCUCACGUUAUGGAACAGCAUCAUCCUUUUAAGUCUAGAUGGCAGCCUUGAAUGCUUAUGAAAACUAAGGUUACAAAGAAUCAGAACAAAUCACGAGCGAGUUCCUAACUUUUGCAGUGUUUACAAUAAUCAUUCCCUCCCUUCUUCACCCCCACCCUGCCACAUACCUCACUCCUUGUUGGUAAUGCCUUGGAUUGCACCUAAAACACCUUUGCCAAGAUAUGAAAUAGUUCCCAACCCUACAAAAGUCCACUUCAUAACCACCAGAGAGCUUCUCGUAGAGUCCUUAGGAAUCUGGGAGUGUUCACAAGAUGAUUUAUUACCCUGACAACAUCAAAUACUUGACCAGUUGUGCAUGUUCUUCUGUUCCUGAAGCACAAGAAAUGUGAGGUGACAGCAGCAAUUUAAUUCCCUCAUUUUCUGAUCUUACCUCUGCUUUUAAUUUCAACAUAUACACACAACUACUGUAACUUUCCUAAUAUCGAAGCUACAAUAUUAUUCUAUUAGAAUUGUAUCUUACAAUGGAAGUGGUUUCAUUUGAAAAAGCAAAAUCAAGCUAAUAUGAAAGAUUACCAUCCAAAGCUGAAAUAAACUUGGUUUGAAUGAAAAACACAGAAACCGUGCAAAUAUGGAUAUUCUACUUACUUCUCUAACUAUAAAAAUCAGAAAAUAAGAAUUAAAUACUGUAUUUUAAAUUUAAGUUCUGAAAGAGCUCAGUUCUGAAUAAAGGCAAGAUAAUAGCACUACAACUGGAUGAGGAAAAGAAUAUAUUCUUAACAGUUAGUUCAUGACACUUAAGUUCCUGGCUGAGGAGACCAAAAAUGAACUGAUUUAGAAAUUUUUCUAAAAUAUUAAGGUUAAAUGCACUAGUGCAUGGGAGAUAAUCCACAUUUCAUCUUUAGGACCUGAACUAGGAACUGCCAUUACUCACCCUCCACAGCACAGGGCACUGGCUAGUUCCCAACAUGCUCUUUCUUCUCCCCUCAGGCUUCUUCCAAAGCUUCAUUUUCAAGUUUAUAGCUCGAAGAGUUUCGCUGGUACAAAGCUAGGACUUCUGAGCUGUUGGAGAUUCUUUGUGGCAGAUCCCCUAGUGCGGUGGCACUGGUGUAAGAAGGCUGCUUUAGACACUGGAAGGUCAGAAUGAGAACUGAAUGGGGUAACUGAAAGAGGUGCCAUUU